GGCUUCCGUCCCCUAAGCCUUGGGGGGAAAUCAGCGCGCCGGAGGCUGGGACCAAGGAGUGAGGGGGUUCAAUCACGCAUGGGUGUCAUGGUCGCAUAUUGGUGUCUUUGUACAAAGCCAGUGCCACUCCACAACCCAGUGACCAUUGGCAAAGCGGCCUCAUAAUGGGCAACUUGCGCUCCAUCAUUGUUUCUCUUGCGAUCUUUUGCAUCCGUCGGUUCCCCAUAUAGCGACAGGCUCAAGAGGCAUGGAAAACUUUUUUUUUUUUUUUUUUUUAACAUGAAAUAGACUUCGUAGAUGGAGAGGUCAAGGGGAAGGCAUUGCGCCGCAGAGAGCGAGGACCCACUCUUCUGUUCCUCUGCCGCGGCGUGAAAACAUGGUGCGGACCGAAACGGCAGCGGGAGAGCAGGAGACGAGACCGAGUUCCGACCGCAGGGAGCUUGCCUGACUGUGAUCCAGCUUUGCCUCCUCCGUGGUGCUGGCUCCUCUCGCCUACCGGGGACAGUUUGAGCUGGGAAUCUUCUAAAGAGUGUCUCCUCACAAGGGCAACGGCAGCAGCAGGAAUCAGCUGGAGAGCUCAUGAUGCUUGCUCCAGUGUGUGACUCCGAGGGAGAGUUCCUGUCCCCUUUGGCCUGAGCUGCCUGAGUAAUGCUCAAGGGACAGAUUGUGAACCAGGGAGGUGUAGGAAGAGACAUGUCCCAGCCCCCCUCAUUCUCCCUGUGCCUGUUCUGGGAAGUCCACCUGACAGCUAGCUCUCCAUCACUGCUGCUGCAGUUCCUGCUCAUCCUUUUGCUCUGCAUUCGGCACAAGUGCAAUGAAGCGUGUAAGCCAGCUUUCUUCCCUCCCGCUCCUGUGAGUUUCCUCUUAGUCCCCAAAGCCUGCUGGGUCGGGGGCUCUGGGGCUAACCCCUUUUAUUUAUGCGGUGCCUAACAGUCACAAACUUCCCUUGCCAACCCUCACACCUAUAGGACUGGCCUCUGGCCACUUUGCAGGAAGAGACAGGUGUGAGAACCACUUCUUUCUCUCCUUGGGGGGGGGGGUGGGAUCUGGGACACCAUUCCCUCAAGGAUGAGGAGCUCUCUUUUUGUCUCUAUGUGGCAGUCCAGGGACACAUUUGAACACGGAUAUUCUCUUUAAAGCACAUCUGAUUGAGGGAUGGGACCUGCGUGCGGAGGGCACUCCCGCAGGAGAGAUUUCUUGAAUAUCCACACUGAUUGUGGGGAAAAACCCUUCCCAGAGGUAGAGGGGAGACUGGGCAGAUGGAGGAAGGUCUCCUUAGAGUCCUUCCUCUCAGGGGCACCUGGACAUUUUAGUUUCCCCAUCAAAGUCCUGUGGGGUGAAGAUUAAUAGUUGGCCAGGGUGGGGAUAAGGGCACAAACCCUCUUGCCUGGAUAGGUGCACUGGACUGGCCUUGUCGCUGAGAAUAUUAUGGGAAAGGCAGCUGCAGUUUGGGGACAGAAGGUAGGGGCACUUACCGGAGAA